CAGUAGCCGCGGUAAUACGUAGGUGGCAAGCGUUGUCCGGAUUUACUGGGCGUAAAGCGAGCGCAGGCGGACUGUUAAGUAGGAAGUGAAAGGUCGGAGCUCAACUCCAACAUUGCUUCCUAUACUGGCAGUCUUGAGUAGCGGAGAGGAAGGGGGAACGACACGUGUAGCGGUGAAAUGCGUUGAUAUGUGUCGGAACACCCAUGGCGAAAGCACCCUUCUGGGCGCAAACUGACGCUCAGGUUCGAAAGCCAAGGUAGCGAACAGGAUUAGAUACCCCCGUAGUCCCUGUCUCUUAUAC
rnacentral:rRNA from 1 species